rnacentral:rRNA from 3 species
UGGGGAAUAUUGCACAAUGGAGGGAACUCUGAUGCAGCGACGCCGCGUGAACGAAGAAGGCUUUCGAGUCGUAAAGUUCUUUUAUAUGGGAAGAUAAUGACGGUACCAUAAGAAAAAGCCCCGGCUAACUACGUGCCAGCAGCCGCGGUAAUACGUAGGGGGCUAGCGUUGUCCGGAAUCACUGGGCGUAAAGGGUUCGCAGGCGGAAAUGCAAGUCAGGUGUAAAAGGCAGUAGCUUAACUACUGUAAGCAUUUGAAACUGCAUAUCUUGAGAAGAGUAGAGGUAAGUGGAAUGUUUAGUGUAGCGGUGAAAUGCGUAGAUAUUAAAAAGAAUACCGGUGGCGAAGGCGACUUACUGGGCUCAUUCUGACGCUGAGGAACGAAAGCGUGGGUAGCAAACAGG